rnacentral:rRNA from 1 species
AUUGAACGCUGGCGGCAUGCCUUACACAUGCAAGUCGAACGGCAGCACGGGAGCAAUCCUGGUGGCGAGUGGCGAACGGGUGAGUAAUAUAUCGGAACGUGCCCGGUCGUGGGGAUAACGUAGCGAAAGCUACGCUAAUACCGCAUACGAUCUACGGAUGAAAGCGGGGGAUCGCAAGACCUCGCGCGAUUGGAGUGGCCGAUAUCAGAUUAGGUAGUUGGUGAGGUAAAGGCUCACCAAGCCGACGAUCUGUAGCUGGUCUGAGAGGACGACCAGCCACACUGGGACUGAGACAUGGCCCAGACUCCUACGGGAGGCUAGCAGUGGGGAAUUUUUGGACAAUGGGCGCAAGCCUGAUCCAGCAAUGCCGCGUGCAGGAUGAAGGCCUUC